rnacentral:lncRNA from 1 species
CCCACUAGCCCUAGAGAUGUUGUGAGACCUGGCCGGGCCAGGCAUACAUUUACAGUUGUUGUAAGACCUGGCCGGGCCAGGCAUACGAAGGUUGUGAGACCCGGCUGGGCCGGGCAUACUGAGACUGGAAGGGAUGUUUUGGGGUUGGGUCCAAUCCGUGAUAUGAUUUGUUUGUGCUAUGACGCAUUUCAUGAAAGCAUGUAAUUAAUGAA